UAUUAAAAGUUCAUGUUUGAUAAGGCACUCUCUUCACAUUGCUAACAUUAAGCAUAAUUUCUAGGCAGGAGACAAUUACAUUAAUGAAUGAUUCUUGUGUUAUCAAAUCCCAUGGAAGCCAUUUCUGCAAAAUGAACUGGAAAAUCUGCUCUGUAUUUAGAAGACGUGGCCGUUCCCAUCCCGACAAAGAAGGCCAACUUUUGUAUUACCAUUGCGUUACCAAUGGACGAUUCUGGCCUGGAGUUCUACCAUCAGAAAAUGUUCUAAUAAAUCCAAGCCCCAAAUAAGUUCUCGUCCAGUGGAGCAGUUCAUUAUUCAUUGGGCAGUAGGCACAGUUACACAGCUUGCUUCUGAUAGCUCCGAAGUACUGUCUUAUCCACUGACUCUUGUGGAACAUUUACUGGAAUGUUGCUUGAGGAUCCUUUGAAGACACUGCAUUUAAACUUCUCAAACAUGCUGCAUGGGCUAUUAUUCCAGUUUCUCACUCAAUAUUUGUUGACAUCCAAGUGGGGCAAGGAAGGUCUCCUCAUCAUUCCUGGGUGGGGGUGAAGAUGAAAUACACAGCUCCUAGCUCUUCUUCCACUGGUACCAGGCACAGAUGACAUUGCUACCACUAAGAGGAGGAAGCUCCUCUGUUGACAGCUGAGCAAGGCAUCGAUCUAUGAAAACUCGGGGUGCUCUUAAUCAUGCAGUGCAGAAGCAACAUCCUUUGGUAUUUACCCAAAGAAGAUCAACAAUUCUGCCCACAAAGAAACCUGCACAGGAACGUAGCAGUUGUGUUUUAAGAUCUGCUUUUGUCUGAUGCAUCCAACUGCUUGCCAGAGGAGGACCUCAGGGUAUUCCAUCCAUGGAGUCUUGGCUGUGUCACUUAAUAGCCAGUUCAGCUUGUCCCUGCAGGAUUUGGAUAACUGUAAGAAGCAACUGUCUUUCCAUCCAUGUUUCUCACUCUGAAAUUUCUUAGAUGUCGUUCUUGAAAGUUGGAGUUGGGAGGAAACAAACUUGGGUAAUAUUAUCUGUGGGUAGUGCCCCAAGUAUAAACAAAGCUGUCUUCAAGGGUCUACACCUAAUACUCCUACCGGAAGCAUGGUGAUAAUAAGCCAGAUGCAGACAUUUCCUUCAACAUUCCCCAGACGAUGUGGCUCCUCGCACCAGAUUAGAAUGUAGUCUGUACAGAGAGGCAUGUUAGAGCCUUUCUCUCGGGAGGAAAAACAGUUUUCAGUCUGAGACUGACCCUGUAACUGUAGUCAAAAUCCAGU